rnacentral:sRNA from 1 species
GCUGGGUGGGGUGGUGCAUGCCUGUAAUCUCAGCACAUUAGGAGGCUGAGGCAGGAGGAUCACAAGUUCAAAGCCAGCCUCAGCAACUUAGUGAGAUCCUAAGAAACUCAGUGAGACCUUAUCUCUA